GACGAACGCUGGCGGCGUGCUUAACACAUGCAAGUCGAACGAAAAGGCCCUGCUUUUGUGGGUUGCUCGAGUGGCGAACGGGUGAGUAACACGCGAGUAACCUGCCCUUGACUUUGGGAUAACUUCUGGAAACUGGGGCGAAUACCGGAUAGGAGCUCCUGCUGCAUGGUGUUGGUUGGAAAGUUUCGGCGGUUGGGGAUGGACUCGCGGCUUAUCAGCUUGUUGGUGGGGUAGUGGCUUACCAAGGCUUUGACGGGUAGCCGGCCUGAGAGGGUGACCGGCCACAUUGGGACUGAGGUACGGCCCAGAAUCCUACGGGAGGCAGCAGUGGGGAAUAUUGCACAAUGGGCGCAAGCCUGAUGCAGCAACGCCGCGUGCGGGAUGACGGCCUUCGGGUUGUAAACCGCUUUCGACUGUGACGAAGAGUGAGUGACGGUAAUGGGUAAAGAAGCAACGGCUAACUACGUG
rnacentral:rRNA from 1 species